rnacentral:rRNA from 1 species
UCAUCUCCGGGGGUAGAGCACUGUUUCGGCAAGGGGGUCAUCCCGACUUACCAACCCGAUGCAAACUGCGAAUACCGGAGAAUGUUAUCACGGGAGACACACGGCGGGUGCUAACGUCCGUCGUGAAGAGGGAAACAACCCAGACCGCCAGCUAAGGUCCCAAAGUCAUGGUUAAGUGGGAAACGAUGUGGGAAGGCCCAGACAGCCAGGAUGUUGGCUUAGAAGCAGCCAUCAUUUAAAGAAAGCGUAAUAGCUCACUGGUCGAGUCGGCCUGCGCGGAAGAUGUAACGGGGCUAAACCAUGCACCGAAGCUGCGGCAGCGACNNNNNNNNNNNNNNNNNNNNNNNNNNNNNNNNNNNNNNNNNNNNNNNNNNAUGCUGGAGGUAUCAGAAGUGCGAAUGCUGACAUAAGUAACGAUAAAGCGGGUGAAAAGCCCGCUCGCCGGAAGACCAAGGGUUCCUGUCCAACGUUAAUCGGGGCAGGGUGAGUCGACCCCUAAGGCGAGGCCGAAAGGCGUAGUCGAUGGGAAACAGGUUAAUAUUCCUGUACUUGGUGUUACUGCGAAGGGGGGACGGAGAAGGCUAUGUUGGCCGGGCGACGGUUGUCCCGGUUUAAGCGUGUAGGCUGGUUUUCCAGGCAAAUCCGGAAAAUCAAGGCUGAGGCGUGAUGACGAGGCACUACGGUGCUGAAGCAACAAAUGCCCUGCUUCCAGGAAAAGCCUCUAAGCAUCAGGUAACAUCAAAUCGUACCCCAAACCGACACAGGUGGUCAGGUAGAGAAUACCAAGGCGCUUGAGAGAACUCGGGUGAAGGAACUAGGCAAAAUGGUGCCGUAACUUCGGGAGAAGGCACGCUGAUAUGUAGGUGAGGUCCCUCGCGGAUGGAGCUGAAAUCAGUCGAAGAUACCAGCUGGCUGCAACUGUUUAUUAAAAACACAGCACUGUGCAAACACGAAAGUGGACGUAUACGGUGUGACGCCUGCCCGGUGCCGGAAGGUUAAUUGAUGGGGUUAGCGGUAACGCGAAGCUCUUGAUCGAAGCCCCGGUAAACGGCGGCCGUAACUAUAACGGUCCUAAGGUAGCGAAAUUCCUUGUCGGGUAAGUUCCGACCUGCACGAAUGGCGUAAUGAUGGCCAGGCUGUCUCCACCCGAGACUCAGUGAAAUUGAACUCGCUGUGAAGAUGCAGUGUACCCGCGGCAAGACGGAAAGACCCCGUGAACCUUUACUAUAGCUUGACACUGAACAUUGAGCCUUGAUGUGUAGGAUAGGUGGGAGGCUUUGAAGUGUGGACGCCAGUCUGCAUGGAGCCGACCUUGAAAUACCACCCUUUAAUGUUUGAUGUUCUAACGUUGACCCGUAAUCCGGGUUGCGGACAGUGUCUGGUGGGUAGUUUGACUGGGGCGGUCUCCUCCUAAAGAGUAACGGAGGAGCACGAAGGUUGGCUAAUCCUGGUCGGACAUCAGGAGGUUAGUGCAAUGGCAUAAGCCAGCUUGACUGCGAGCGUGACGGCGCGAGCAGGUGCGAAAGCAGGUCAUAGUGAUCCGGUGGUUCUGAAUGGAAGGGCCAUCGCUCAACGGAUAAAAGGUACUCCGGGGAUAACAGGCUGAUACCGCCCAAGAGUUCAUAUCGACGGCGGUGUUUGGCACCUCGAUGUCGGCUCAUCACAUCCUGGGGCUGAAGUAGGUCCCAAGGGUAUGGCUGUUCGCCAUUUAAAGUGGUACGCGAGCUGGGUUUAGAACGUCGUGAGACAGUUCGGUCCCUAUCUGCCGUGGGCGCUGGAGAACUGAGGGGGGCUGCUCCUAGUACGAGAGGACCGGAGUGGACGCAUCACUGGUGUUCGGGUUGUCAUGCCAAUGGCACUGCCCGGUAGCUAAAUGCGGAAGAGAUAAGUGCUGAAAGCAUCUAAGCACGAAACUUGCCCCGAGAUGAGUUCUCCCUGACUCCUUGAGAGUCCUGAAGGAACGUUGAAGACGACGACGUUGAUAGGCCGGGUGUGUAAGCGCAGCGAUGCGUUGAGCUAACCGGUACUAAUGAACCGUGAGGCUUAACCUU